CCCUAAACAUGUCAAGCGAACUGAGCCAUCGGCACAGAUGUGCUGACCCUAAUAUAGCAAGCCUUCGCGCUCGCCAGGAAGGAAGAGCCCCUCGUCCCGACGUUCUUUGUCAUCUUUUAUUUUUUUUUUUAUUUUUUUUUCUUUGUCAUCUUUUAUCAGAUGCUUUCUGCAUCUGUCGAGGAGAUCGUAUGGUUCUAUUGUCCCCUCCCCGCAACCGCUCGCAGCGCUGCCCUUCUGCGGCCGCAGCGCGCCCGGGGAAGCCCUACUCGGACUCAUCGGGCCUCUGUCACUACGCCGCUGUUUUCAGUUUGAUGACAUGACACUUCGACGUCGGCAUCACAGGGGAAGCCGGCCUCGAGAUCGGUGUGAUUUUGACACAGGAGGAGAAAACCGAGCCCGGAGCGAUCAAGAAACCUGCCCAAGGUUACACAGUGAAGGGGAUGCAAACCGACACAACGGUUUACCUCCGGGGUCCAGGCUCCGAGCCAGUCCGCCCAUAGCACCUGCUCACCUGGGUGGGCUCCCCCCCGCUGCUUCCGGCAUCCACGGCACCUACAUGGGGCUCCAGUGCUCCCGAGACGGGCCCACGGGAAGGUACCAGAACGGAAGUGAACUCCAUCACACCAGCUGGUCCUGGAGCUACACGGGCUUAGAUCAGAAGAUCCAGGAGGAAGCGCUAGACGGCCGGCCGCGAACACGCAGGGCACGGCCGAGCCGCGGCACCGCACGCCGGGAGCGCUCGGGCCAAGGCAACGGCUCACGUCAGCGAUCGGAAGGGACUUCCCUCCGGUGACGGGACCAGGUCCCCGGCUUCGGGAAUAAAACAGCGAGGACUUGGCAGGCGCUCCGUAAUUACUUAUCGAUUAGGUUAAUCCUAACAUUUCUCCAGUGUUACCCUGAAGCAUUUAGAAAAACUCUUAGAGACAGAAAAUUCUUCUAGUUCACUUCCUUAAUUUUAGAGAUGGGGAAGCUGAGGUCCCACGGGGAUUAAGAUAAUUACACGUGUAUGCAAAAACCUCACUUUUGCCCUAAAUAUUGCCCUUUGAUUGUUACUGUCUUUAUAGUUGAUAACAUACCACACGAUAUAGUACAUAUUUACUACGUAUUUGACUUUUACUCUUUCUUGGUAAGAGCUUGGGAAAAAAAAAAAAAGUCCUUUAAUAAUUGGAUAUCUCGUUCCAUGUGUCAUUCUUAUCAACAGAUUAAAAACUCUCUUAAC